UGUGUGUGUGUGUGUGUGUGUUAAAUUUUUUUUUACCAUUUUCACUUUCAUAACAUUUAUUUUUUUUUAUGGAUAAACGUAUUCCUCCCUUUAUUAAUGUUUUCAAGGAGUUCGCGCGUAUACAAACUUUUUGUUUGUGCGUCAAUUUACAUUUUUUUCAACUCGACGUACGCCUCAGACAAAACGUAUAAAACACCUUUUUUAGU